CUACGGAUUAGUCCGCACU
rnacentral:snRNA from 1 species